UACAGAGGUCUCAAGCGUUGUUCGGAUUCAUUGGGCGUAAAGGGUGCGUAGGCGGCGCGGUAAGUCGGGUGUGAAAUCUUGGAGCUUAACUCCGAAACUGCAUUCGAUACUGCCGUGCUUGAGGACUGGAGAGGAGACUGGAAUUUACGGUGUAGCGGUGAAAUGCGCAGAGAUCGGGAGGAACACCCGUAGCGAAGGCGGCGCUCUGGGCCGGUACUGACGCUGAGGAGCGAAAGCGUGGGGAGCAAACAGG
rnacentral:rRNA from 1 species